rnacentral:rRNA from 1 species
UACAGAGGGUGCAAGCGUUGUUCGGAAUUACUGGGCGUAAAGCGCGUGUAGGCGGUACGGUAUGUCGGAUGUGAAAUCCCCUGGCUUAACCAGGGAAGUGCAUUCGAAACUGCAGUACUAGAGUGCAAGAGAGGAAGGUGGAAUUCCUGGUGUAGAGGUGAAAUUCGUAGAUAUCAGGAGGAACACCGAUGGCGAAGGCAGCCUUCUGGCUUGCAACUGACGCUGAGACGCGAAAGCGUGGGGAGCAAAC